UAUAAAUCUAUGAGCUCAGAAAUAGUUGAACCUCUGUGAGUAAGCUGGCGGAGUUUGUAAAGUUGAUAUAAUUAAAAAUGAAUAUAUAUUUCUGUUUGCUGGUUUUACUGCCGAUCACAAUUGCACAGCCAGUCGAUUAUUAUGAUACCGGUAAUAACAAUAUAGAUAUUGAUAUCCUGGCAGCUAAUCGAGAUUUUAUGACAAUAACAUUGAACUGUUUGGUUGACAAAGGAACUUGUGACCCACAGAUGCAACUUUACAAAGAUAAUAUGAAAGAUUCGAUUGACACCCUCUGUACAAGAUGUACUGAUGUUCAUAAACAUUUAUGGAACCGUUUCUUAGCAAUUGUACCAAUAGACUAUACAACUCAGUACUCUGAAUUUCAAAAAGUUUACGAUCCAACGGGCACGAAAU